GCGCGAGUGGCGGAACUGGCAGACGCGCGGGCCUUAGGAGCCCGUGCCCGCAAGGGCGUGAGGGUUCGACCCCCUCCUCGCGCACCA
rnacentral:tRNA from 1 species